UACGGAGGGUGCGAGCGUUAAUCGGAAUUACUGGGCGUAAAGCGUGCGUAGGCGGUCGUGUAAGUCGGGUGUGAAAGCCCCGGGCUCAACCUGGGAAUUGCAUUCGAGACUGCACGGCUGGAGUGCAGAAGAGGGAAGCGGAAUUUCCGGUGUAGCGGUGAAAUGCGUAGAUAUCGGAAGGAACAUCAGUGGCGAACGCGGCUGCCUGGUCCAGCACUGACGCUCAGGCACGAAAGCGUGGGGAGGAAUCAGC
rnacentral:rRNA from 1 species